ACGGAAGGCAGCAGUGGGGAAUAUUGGGCAAUGGGGGAAACCCUGACCCAGCAACGCCGCGUGAAGGAAGAAGGCCUUCGGGUUGUAAACUUCUUUUACCAGGGACGAAGAAUGACGGUACCUGGAGAAAAAGCAACGGCUAACUACGUGCCAGCAGCCGCGGUAAUACGUAGGUUGCAAGCGUUGUCCGGAUUUACUGGGUGUAAAGGGAGCGUAGACGGCAAUGCAAGUCUGAAGUGAAAGCCCGCGGCUUAACUGCGGGACUGCUUUGGAAACUGUAUGGCUAGAGUGUCGGAGAGGUGAGUGGAAUUCCCAGUGUAGCGGUGAAAUGCGUAGAUAUUGGGAGGAACACCGGAGGCGAAGGCGGCUCACUGGACGAUUACUGACGUUGAGGCUCGAAAGCGUGGGGAGCAAACAGGAUUAGAUACCCUGGUA
rnacentral:rRNA from 1 species